rnacentral:rRNA from 1 species
AUUGAACGCUGGCUGCAGGCUUAACACAUGCACGUCGAACGAGUGGCGGACGUGUGAGCCAUGCUUGGGAAUCUAGCUUAUGGCCGGGGAUAACUACGGGAAACUGUAUCUAAUACCGCUUACCAUCGGAUGAGCCCUAGUGGGCUUAGGUACUUGGUGUGGUAAAGGCGCUCCAAGCCGACGAUCUCUAGCUGGUCUGAGAUGCUGACCAGCCACACUGGGACGGAGACACGGCCCAGACUCCUACGGGAGGCAGCAGUGGGGAAUAUUGCGCGAUGGGGGCAACCUGACGAAGCCAUGCCGCGUGAAUGAAGAAGGCUUUCGGGUUGUAAAGUUCUUUCGGUGGCGAGGCGUUAACUGCAGAAGAAGCACGGGCUAACUCCGUGCCAGCCGCCGCGGUAAUUC